rnacentral:rRNA from 1 species
GACGUAGGGUGCAAGCGUUGUCCGGAUUUAUUGGGCGUAAAGAGCUCGUAGGCGGCUUGUUGCGUCGACUGUGAAAACCCGCGGCUUAACCGCGGGCUUGCAGUCGAUACGGGCAGGCUAGAGUUCGGUAGGGGAGACUGGAAUUCCUGGUGUAGCGGUGAAAUGCGCAGAUAUCAGGAGGAACACCAAUGGCGAAGGCAGCACUCUGGGACGUGACUGACGCUGAGACGCGAAAGCGUGGGGAGCAAACAGG